UGAUUACCAGGGCAGUGUGAGGAGGAUUACUGGGGGUGCCUGCAAGGAAUCACACCGCGGGAGGAGGAGAGACUAUGGCUGGAGACUGAUGGACAGACCCCUUGAAGUGCUGAGACACCAUGAUGGAUCGUAAGAUCAUCAUCUGGGGAUGUAUUCUCGGAUACAUAGGGCGGCUCACAGAUGGGUCAUAAAAUCAUCAUCCGAAAAUGGAUUCUCAGACACAUGAAGUAUUUGUAAAAAUGACGUAUCAUACUAUAUGAAUAUUGGAAUAAAUUAUGUUAUUCACA